GGAGUCAGAGGGGCUUGUCCAGCAAUCAUUUCCCUACCCUCCACUGUUGGAGAGGGAGGUCAUUUUGGUCUCUGACCACCUUUUUCUUUUCUUUUAUUUUUGAUUUAUUUUUCAUCUCCACUUGGAAUGCUGGUCUAUCCAUACUGAGCCUACUGAUUAGGAGUGUUGUGAUACCUCAUAUCCAUUCUUGGCUGCUGACACUUUUUAUGUGAAUACGUUUGUUAUUUCACACACCCCUCAUGGUCUUGGAGCCCUCUGGGAGUGGGGGAGACCUAUGGGCAUUGAGCAUAUCAUCUGACUUGGCCGCAUUGGAUCCGGCGCACACACGGGCUCUCUGGGGACGAUCUGGGCACUCCAAGCUUGGGAGAGGAAAAACCUCACUGCUAAUGUUCCCUGAAGAAGGAUGUAUUACUAAAAGCAUUUGAAACGCGUUGGAAACGACCAUCCAUACCCCCAGUUUUGUGCUGGGGUACAUGAUGAUCUCAUAGCAGCAGUUUUUUCCAAUUUUUUAUUUUAGAUGUUGACAUACUACUGUGAAGUGUUUAUUCUUUGACUAUUUUUG